rnacentral:rRNA from 1 species
CAGCAGCCACGGUAAUACGGAGGGUGCAAGCGUUAUUCGGAAUUACUGGGCGUAAAGCGCACGCAGGCGGUUGCCCAAGUCAGAUGUGAAAGCCCCGGGCUUAACCUGGGAACUGCAUUUGAAACUGGGCGACUAGAGUAUGAAAGAGGAAAGCGGAAUUUCCAGUGUAGCAGUGAAAUGCGUAGAUAUUGGAAGGAACACCGAUGGCGAAGGCAGCUUUCUGGGUCGAUACUGACGCUCAUGUGCGAAAGCGUGGGGAGCAAACAGGAUUAGAUACCCCCGUAGUCCCUGUCUCUUAUAC